GUGUGCCAACCUGCCGUUUAAUCUGGGGGAAUAGCCUUUCGAAAGGAAAGAUUAAAUUACCCCAUAAUAUACUGAAUGGUCAUUCAUUCGGUAUUGAAACUCCGGUGGAUAGAGUGUGCCAACCUGCCGUUUAAUCUGGGGGAAUAGCCUUUCGAAAGGAAAGAUUAAAUUACCCCAUAAUAUACUGAAUGGUCAUUCAUUCGGUAUUGAAA
rnacentral:rRNA from 1 species